rnacentral:tRNA from 1 species
GCGCUUGUAGCUCAGUUGGUUAGAGAACCUGUUUAGUAAACAGGAGGGCUUAAGUUUGACUUUCAAUAAGGGCA